UUAAGCGACUAAGCGUACACGGUGGAUGCCCUGGCAGUCAGAGGCGAUGAAGGACGUGCUAAUCUGCGAAAAGCGUCGGUAAGGUGAUAUGAACCGUUACAGCCGGCGAUGUCCGAAUGGGGAAACCCAGUGCAAUUCGUUGCACUAUCGUUAACUGAAUACAUAGGUUAACGAGGCGAACCGGGGGAACUGAAACAUCUAAGUACCCCGAGGAAAAGAAAUCAACCGAGAUUCCCCCAGUAGCGGCGAGCGAACGGGGAGCAGCCCAGAGUCUGAAUCAGCUUGUGUGUUAGUGGAACGGUCUGGAAAGUCCGACGGUACAGGGUGAUAGUCCCGUACACCAAAAUGCACAGGCUGUGAACUCGAAGAGUAGGGCGGGACACGUGGUAUCCUGUCUGAAUAUGGGGGGACCAUCCUCCAAGGCUAAAUACUCCUGACUGACCGAUAGUGAACCAGUACCGUGAGGGAAAGGCGAAAAGAACCCCGGCGAGGGGAGUGAAAAAGAACCUGAAACCGUGUACGUACAAGCAGUGGGAGCACCUUCGGGUGUGACUGCGUACCUUUUGUAUAAUGGGUCAGCGACUUAUAUUCUGUAGCAAGGUUAACCGUAUAGGGGAGCCGCAGGGAAACCGAGUCUUAACUGGGCGUUAAGUUGCAGGGUAUAGACCCGAAACCCGGUGAUCUAGCCAUGGGCAGGUUGAAGGUUGGGUAACACUAACUGGAGGACCGAACCGACUAAUGUUGAAAAAUUAGCGGAUGACUUGUGGCUGGGGGUGAAAGGCCAAUCAAACCGGGAGAUAGCUGGUUCUCCCCGAAAGCUAUUUAGGUAGCGCCUCGUGAAUUCAUCUUCGGGGGUAGAGCACUGUUUCGGCUAGGGGGUCAUCCCGACUUACCAACCCGAUGCAAACUACGAAUACCGAAGAAUGUUAUCACGGGAGACACACGGCGGGUGCUAACGUCCGUCGUGAAGAGGGAAACAACCCAGACCGCCAGCUAAGGUCCCAAAGUCAUGGUUAAGUGGGAAACGAUGUGGGAAGGCACAGACAGCCAGGAUGUUGGCUUAGAAGCAGCCAUCAUUUAAAGAAAGCGUAAUAGCUCACUGGUCGAGUCGGCCUGCGCGGAAGAUGUAACGGGGCUAAACCAUGCACCGAAGCUGCGGCAGCGACACUAUGUGUUGUUGGGUAGGGGAGCGUUCUGUAAGCCUGCGAAGGUGUGCUGUGAGGCAUGCUGGAGGUAUCAGAAGUGCGAAUGCUGACAUAAGUAACGAUAAAGCGGGUGAAAAGCCCGCUCGCCGGAAGACCAAGGGUUCCUGUCCAACGUUAAUCGGGGCAGGGUGAGUCGACCCCUAAGGCGAGGCCGAAAGGCGUAGUCGAUGGGAAACAGGUUAAUAUUCCUGUACUUGGUGUUACUGCGAAGGGGGGACGGAGAAGGCUAUGUUAGCCGGGCGACGGUUGUCCCGGUUUAAGCAUGUAGGCUGGUUGUCCAGGCAAAUCCGGAUAAUCAAGGCUGAGGUGUGAUGACGAGGUACUACGGUGCUGAAGUAACAAAUGCCCUGCUUCCAGGAAAAGCCUCUAAGCAUCAGGUAACAUCAAAUCGUACCCCAAACCGACACAGGUGGUCAGGUAGAGAAUACCAAGGCGCUUGAGAGAACUCGGGUGAAGGAACUAGGCAAAAUGGUGCCGUAACUUCGGGAGAAGGCACGCUGGUGUGUAGGUGAAGUCCCUGCGGAUGGAGCUGAGACCAGUCGAAGAUACCAGCUGGCUGCAACUGUUUAUUAAAAACACAGCACUGUGCAAACACGAAAGUGGACGUAUACGGUGUGACGCCUGCCCGGUGCCGGAAGGUUAAUUGAUGGGGUUAUCCGUAAGGAGAAGCUCUUGAUCGAAGCCCCGGUAAACGGCGGCCGUAACUAUAACGGUCCUAAGGUAGCGAAAUUCCUUGUCGGGUAAGUUCCGACCUGCACGAAUGGCGUAAUGAUGGCCAGGCUGUCUCCACCCGAGACUCAGUGAAAUUGAACUCGCUGUGAAGAUGCAGUGUACCCGCGGCAAGACGGAAAGACCCCGUGAACCUUUACUAUAGCUUGACACUGAACAUUGAGCCUUGAUGUGUAGGAUAGGUGGGAGGCUUUGAAGCGUGGACGCCAGUCUGCGUGGAGCCAACCUUGAAAUACCACCCUUUAAUGUUUGAUGUUCUAACGUUGGCCCCUGACCGGGGUUGCGGACAGUGUCUGGUGGGUAGUUUGACUGGGGCGGUCUCCUCCCAAAGCGUAACGGAGGAGCACGAAGGUUAGCUAAUCCUGGUCGGACAUCAGGAGGUUAGUGCAAUGGCAUAAGCUAGCUUGACUGCGAGCGUGACGGCGCGAGCAGGUGCGAAAGCAGGUCAUAGUGAUCCGGUGGUUCUGAAUGGAAGGGCCAUCGCUCAACGGAUAAAAGGUACUCCGGGGAUAACAGGCUGAUACCGCCCAAGAGUUCAUAUCGACGGCGGUGUUUGGCACCUCGAUGUCGGCUCAUCACAUCCUGGGGCUGAAGUAGGUCCCAAGGGUAUGGCUGUUCGCCAUUUAAAGUGGUACGCGAGCUGGGUUUAGAACGUCGUGAGACAGUUCGGUCCCUAUCUGCCGUGGGCGCUGGAGAAUUGAGGGGGGCUGCUCCUAGUACGAGAGGACCGGAGUGGACGCAUCACUGGUGUUCGGGUUGUCAUGCCAAUGGCACUGCCCGGUAGCUAAAUGCGGAAGAGAUAAGUGCUGAAAGCAUCUAAGCACGAAACUUGCCCCGAGAUGAGUUCUCCCUGAGACUUUAAGUCUCCUGAAGGAACGUUGAAGACGACGACGUUGAUAGGCCGGGUGUGUAAGCGCAGCGAUGCGUUGAGCUAACCGGUACUAAUGAACCGUGAGGCUUAACCUU
rnacentral:rRNA from 1 species